CCCUCUGUUUCAUAUUGUAUUGUGUUUUAGUUUUGUUGUAAGUCAAAAUUCUUUUACUUUGACCAAGUUUGUAGUAAAAUAAUUAACAUCUAAAAUACCAAAUAAAUACACUAUUGAGACAUAUUUCAUGGUUGAUUUUUCUAUAAACUUGGUCAAAGUUAGAGAAGUUUGACUUAGGACAAAACUAAACACCUUAUGAUAUGGAACAGAGGG
rnacentral:miRNA from 1 species